CGUCAUUUCCUCUGUUUCCCCACCCGCAUGGGGCUGGGGGUAGGCACCGUCAUGUGCAAGAUCCGUAGGAUCUCAGGAGCAGCUCCCCAGAUCAUUGGUUACUGCCAAGAAGUGUCUCCACCUCUCUGUUCCAGCUGCCCUCCCUACUUCCCUGGGAGGUGGAGGCGAGCUGGCAUAUGUUAUGGCCUGUCACAUGAGCAAAUAGAGAUGCAUAGAGGCAGCCUCAUAAGGGUUAAGGUGAUGAUGAUGGUCACAAGCGCUGCCGACGGUCCUGGCACAGCGCUCCAUGACAUACCCGUGAAACUGUGUAGCUGUGGUAUCUCAUUUAAACAGGGAUCACUCCUGAGAGGCGAGCAUUCUCAUCUCUACUUGACAUAGGAGGAAGUGAAAGCUUAAAGGUUAAGGGCUUUCCUCAAGGCCACACAGGAAAGGUGGUUCCUGUGAAAAGACUCUAUUUGAACCCAGAGAUCCUGUGCUGCAGAGUCAUUCUCCCCAACACCCCUGUAGCUUUCUGCGAUCACCUGCCCCAUGUAACUGGGCCUUCAGUGGACAUUGGGUCCCGGGUCCCUUGCCGGGAGACUCAGGCGGCGUGGAGAGGAGGAGAGUCAGCCUGGAGCCUCUUCCUUCCCACCUGGGGUGGCUGGGCUGGCUGGAGGCCCAGGUCGGGGACCUGUGUCAUCUGAAUCAAGGUGACCCCUGGUGACUUUCCUGUCUUCUGAGCUGCAUAGACACAGAACACAUGCUUCCUCUUCCACAGAACAAGGGUCACCAGCAGAAGUGGGCACAGCGCUGACGAGACUGGGGUCAGGAUCCCGGAGAAGUUCUUCUCUUCCAGAGGAGCGCUGCAAAGAAGCCGCAGGAGUGGGCGCCAGAAACGCACGAGAGAGCGGGGCCUGGAGCGCCCCGGGAGCCGAGGCCCUGGGGCCUCACCCCUCAUUUUACAGAGGCCACGUGGAGGCCUGGGCCAGUCGGCCGCCCUCGUUCCACGGCUGGUGGGUUAGUCACUGACCUGGGACGCGGUCCCCUGCCUCCCGGGUCCCAAGUCCUCAGUCCUGUCCCUCCCUGACCACCUGUGUGGGGUCCCUGCCAACGGGCUGCAGGGGCCAAGAGAACUGAGUCAGGCUCAGGGAAUCCACGCUAGGCAUUUGGCUCUGCUGCAAAGUCUCUCUUUGUGGCUUCGGUGAGUCACCCCGCCACCCCACCUCGCCACCCGCUGGAGCUUUCUUUCCUCAUCCGGAAGAAACAAAAAGUCCCAACAGUUCCACCUAAAUAUUCUAAAUAUUCUGUUGCUUAGAUGUUUGCUCAGUCUCGUGAAGAUGCUCAGAUGGCGUUCUCCCAGCGAGGACCCUUGGAAGGAGGCAGGAUUCUGACCCCCGUGACCCUUGCCCUUGACUGGCCUGAGGCUACAGGGGGAGAAGGGGAGCAAGCAGACGCGGGGCACGUAGCUCACUCAGGGAGCAGGCAGAGCUGCAGCCCCGACGGCGGGGGGGGGGGGGGUGCCUGGG